AGAGUUUGAUCCUGGCUCAGGACGAACGCUGGCGGCGUGCUUAACACAUGCAAGUCGAACGGAAAGGUCUCUUCGGAGAUACUCGAGUGGCGAACGGGUGAGUAACACGUGGGUAAUCUGCCCUGCACUUCGGGAUAAGCCUGGGAAACUGGGUCUAAUACCGAAUAGGACCACUUGGCGCAUGCCUUGUGGUGGAAAGCUUUUGCGGUGUGGGAUGGGCCCGCGGCCUAUCAGCUUGUUGGUGGGGUGAUGGCCUACCAAGGCGACGACGGGUAGCCGGCCUGAGAGGGUGUCCGGCCACACUGGGACUGAGAUACGGCCCAGACUCCUACGGGAGGCAGCAA
rnacentral:rRNA from 1 species